rnacentral:lncRNA from 1 species
UGGGCUUUUCAAUAAUAUAAAGAUUGCAUCAAUCGACCUUUGUUCUCCCUAUCAAUUGCAUACUUGAAACUAUGCUGCAAUCUGUCAAUGUUGCUGAAAUAUUGAUCGCUAGAACGACAAGUUCAGCUUACUUUUUUUUGUUUUGUUUUGUGUGUGAGUUUCUCUGUAUGGAUUUUGAUUAAGAUGUUUGAUCCUAACACUCAGACCUAAAAUUAGCUGCUUGGUUCCUCUUUUCGAGUCUAUCCUAUACAUACUGUUAAUGUGAACUGAGAGUAUUUCCAUGUGAUUGAGUUUCUACUGAUAUGCUGGAGCUGGUCCCUUAUGUGCAAAUGACUUGAUAUGAGCUGGUUGUUGUGGUUUUCUGUGUUCGAAGUCUUCAUGAAAGUUGAAGAUGGUUCGAUUAUCUUUCCAAUGAGCUAUAGAAUGCCCUAAUGGGACUUCAUUUAAUAUGAUUUUCGUCUGUCUAAAGUCUGGUCCAGAAUCUGCCAAAUGUUUGUCUCUCUGUUUUGGAUGACCUUCUGUGCAAAUCACUUGAUAUGAACUGGUAGAUGAUGUUAUUAGGACUUAAUGUCUUCUAGAUAAUUGUAAUAGGCAUCUCAAGCUUUAAAAUGACAUAUUUCAUGCCUGAAUCGACCAUCAUUUGCCAUGUUUAACAUUUUUUUUCUAAUCCAUUCUGAAAUCUGGAAUUUGCCUUGGUCAGAAAUGCAUAUUCUGUUUUUGGGUGGGCCUGAUUGUCUGCCACUUUCCUACGAUCUUUUGAGCAUAGAUUUUGAGGUUGAUAAUACCAAAAAAGUAAAUCACGUGUGGGAUGGUCUUGCUCUAUUGUUCUCUUUUUUAGCAAAGUUCUGUUGUUUGAUAAUUGAUAUUAGAUAUCCACCAUCAAACCAAUUUCCAACACUAAUCACUUUGCCCAGUAGCUUAUUUGUGUUCUACCGAUCCAAACUCUGUGUGUUUUUGUUUGUAAAGAUGUCCAGAGUUAUGUUGUUAUUUAGUAUCGAUAUUUCUUUGCUUGCUGUUCAUAUGUCC